CCUACGGGUGACAGCAGUAGGGAAUUUUGCGCAAUGGGCGAAAGCCUGACGCAGCAACGCCGCGUGAUUGAGACGCCCUUCGGGGUGGAAAGACCUGUCAGUGGGGGCGAAACUCGACGGCACCCACUGAGGAAGCAGCGGCUAACACCGGGCCAGCAGCCGCGGCAAUACGGGGGGGGCAAGCGUUGUCCUGAGUCAUUGGGCGUAAUGGGUGCGUAGGCGGCACGUCAAGUCUGGUGGGAAAGGCAGGGGCUCAACUUCUGCACGGCACUGGAUACUGGCGGGCUAGAGUGCGGGAGAGGUAAGGGGAAUGCCUGGUGUAGCGGUGAAAUGCUUAGAUAUCAGGAGGAACAUCGGUGGCGAAGGCGCUUUACUGGGCCGUAAUUGACGCUGAGGAACGAAAGCCAGGGUAGCAAAUAGGAUUAGAUACCCUUGUAGUC
rnacentral:rRNA from 1 species